UACGAAGGGGGCUAGCGUUGCUCGGAAUCACUGGGCGUAAAGGGUGCGUAGGCGGGUCUUUAAGUCAGGGGUGAAAUCCUGGAGCUCAACUCCAGAACUGCCUUUGAUACUGAGGAUCUUGAGUUCGGGAGAGGUGAGUGGAACUGCGAGUGUAGAGGUGAAAUUCGUAGAUAUUAGGAAGAACACCGGUGGCGAAGGCGGCCCACUGGCUCGAUACUGACGCUGAGGUGCGAAAGCGUGGGGAGCAAACAGG
rnacentral:rRNA from 1 species